UACAGAGGGUGCGAGCGUUAAUCGGAAUUACUGGGCGUAAAGCGCACGUAGGCGGCUUGGUAUGUCGGGUGUGAAAUCCCCGGGCUCAACCUGGGAACUGCAUCCGAAACUGCCUUGCUCGAGUAUGGGAGAGGGAAGUGGAAUUUCCGGUGUAGCGGUGAAAUGCGCAGAUAUCAGGAGGAACACCAGUGGCGAAGGCGCCACUCUGGGCCGUAACUGACGCUGAGGAGCGAAAGCGUGGGUAGCAAACAGG
rnacentral:rRNA from 1 species